GUUGUCUCUGACGUGGCUGAAGAUAACAUGUGCUGUGCCUCCCGUCUCGACGCACAGCUGCCUGACCACCAGCUUGUGGCUUGCUUGGGGGCUGCACCUGGGCAGACCCAUCAGGUGUGCCCGACCAAUGAUAUGCUCACUUGUCAGCUGUGCUGAGUUGACUUCAAUUCCCAAAGGCAGCUCUAGCCAAGCUGAGUUAGUGCACAAAACUUUGGAGUUUACAGAGCUCCUCCUCGCGUUGCUUUUGAGAACAGGGGAAAAAGUUCCAAUGGAGAAUCCUUUGCAUCAGGAUAUGGAAGGAUGUAUGUUUACAUAUGAAGAUAUCAAGAAAAGCACAUCUAGUUGUCAGGUGAAAGCUGGUGCAGACAGAGAAGCAGAUACUUGAGAAAUGAGGGUCAAACUGCUGGCUUUUGAGAACAUGAAUUGGAGUGACUGACCUUCCCUGUGCUUGCUGCCUGCCACCUCUGCCUUCCCAGCUUCCUGCUUUUCAUUAAACAGGGAGAGGAUGAGCCUCUGUGUUGAAGACCCAGUG